rnacentral:tRNA from 1 species
GAGGAUCUAGCUCAGUGGCAGAGCGUGCGCUUAGCAUGCCCGAGGUCCUGGGUUCUAUCCCCAGUACCUUCA